CCCGGAGCGCCCGGCUGGGCAGGGGUGGGUACGGCAGGCUCUGCCAUAUUAAUGGAUGAGUGGGCGCUGCCCCGCGGCGGCUGGCUGGCAGCCGCGCUGCCGUUCCUGCCCGUGAGGCGUUUAGCCCGCGCGCUGCCACCUGCAGUUCCCUGUAGCGCUGUGGGCUCACUUGGCAGAAACAGGGCGGUCCCUGCCUCGGCUCCCCCAGGAUGAGCGAGGCCAGGCGGUGCACUAGCCGUGGAAUCUGAACCACAGAACAUCUGGAGUUGGAAGGCACCCACAAGGAUCACUGAGUCCAACUUCUGACUUCACACAGCAGCACCCUAAACUCAAGCCCUAUGUCUGCGAGCGUUGUUCACACAUUCCUUGAGCUCCGGCAGCUUGGGGCCGUGACCACUGGCCUGGGCAGCCUGUUCACCCUCUAAUGAAGAACCUUUUCCUAACACUCAACCCGGCCCUCCCGAUGCACCUCCAUGCCGUUCCCUGGAGUCCUGUCACUAUCACCAGAUAGCAGAGGUCAGCACCUGCCUCUAGUUGGCAGUCAGCUCCACUGCAGUCUCUCACUUCUUGGCACUUGGCUUCUUGGGUCCUUUGGCAUCCACUCUACACCCAGCUCCAGGCAACAAGAUGUGAAAAACAAGCCUGAGAAAGGGUGAGAUUAGCAUUGCUCUGCUCACCCAAGCACCAGAGGGUAGAGGGGGAAGCAGUGGUCUAACUUUUCCCUACUGGUGUUCUUGUCCUGAAACUGCCAGCAAGCAUCAGGCAGUCUUCAGGCACCAGAAUAAUGCUGACGGGGAGUUCAGCAUCAGUAACCCACUCACCCAUCACCCUGCAGAGCCCAUCAAGAAACCAGAAGAUACUCUGAUCUCCAGCUCCCUGGAACCUCUCCCAUGGCCUACAGCCACUGUCUGUCUGCAUACUCACCUACGCAGCUCCCAUCGACUUCCUCAAACCCCACAGCACAAAGGCAUCGGCCCAUUGGUACCAGCCACUCCCCAUCAGUGCUGCAGUGCAUCCUCGGGGGAGAUCCCGUUUCUUCAGCUGCAUAUUCCACGCAGACACCAGAUGCUGGUUCUCCUGGCUUCCCCUAGCCAGCAAGACACGCUCAGUUUAAGCUGAAAGAGAUGACACAAUCUUUCACCCAAGCACUACCGACCUUGAUGAACAUUGGGCGGCGGAACUGGAUCCCGACAUCCUGCUCAGACUCCAUGUAGUAGAGGUUGAAGGUCUCUUUGCAGGUCACCGCUUCACCUUUGAAGCUCUUGCAGUCUCUCACAGUGAACUUCAGCUCCACAUAAA